AUAAAUUUCAAGCAAAUAUCAUUUAUUGUAAGGUUGAGAUUGCAUCAUCAAAUGGGACGUGUACUAAAAUAUUUUUUAAUAUAUGAAUUUUAAGUUAAUUUCUUAAUGCUCCUACCCUUGUCCGUCUCGAGGGACGGAGGAGGCUAGGUUAGCCAAGAGAUGGUUAUAGGUUCAAGGACACAAGGUAACCCUUCUUUUUCAAGGGUAAGAAGGGGUAGGGAAAAUGCCUCGAGUCAAUGUUCGAGUACCAGGUGCUGAAGUAACCCAUGUCAUACUCCCAAGAAAAGCUCGAAUAAUCUUCAACAAAAAGGUACCUAUGCCCGAAACCGACUCAGGUGGGUAGGUAGAGAAUAUCUAGGGGCAUGAGAUAACUCUUUCUAAGGAACUUGACAAAAUAGCCUUGUAACUUUGGGAGAAGGGGUGCCUUCUCUCAAAGGGGGUCGCAGUGACUAAGCCCGGACGAUUGUUUAUAAAAAACAUAGGUCUCCACAAAGUCGUAAGACCAUAUAUGAGUGCUGUCGCCUACCUAAAGUGCCGAAAGGUCAAGAAAGUUGCUAAUCUAGUGACAAGGGAGUCGGCGACCAAAGCCCUGAUGAACGGCGGUCGUAACUAUAACGGUCCUAAGGUAGCGAAAUUACUUGUUGGGUAAGUUCUGACCCGCACGAAAGGCGUAACGAUCUGGGCACUGCCUCAGAGAGAGGCUUG
rnacentral:ncRNA from 1 species